CUCUGUGUCUCUUGAGAUUUCUUAGGAACUUUCAAAUUAUAUGUUUUUGAUAGGAGCCAAAAACUGUAGGAAGGGCUCUAUUUCACCAUCUCUCCAAGUUCAGUAGUUGCCUGGGGAAGAAAAUGAACUCCCAAAGUGCAAACUUCAUGUUUUCAAAGCUGGAAGAGUCAUGUUUCAAUGAUUCUGUGAGUGAAUACUAAUUUACUUUUUUUUUUUUUUUCCUUUUAAAUCCAAAAGGGAAAUUAAAUGCUUCCAAACUGUAAAAGGGAACUUUUUCUGACAUUAAUUCUAUUUCUCCAUGAUAAAUUCUUGAGGCUUUUGAAAUUUUUACUUUGGGUUAGGGAAAUAAUCUGAAACCUUGAAACCCCUCGAGAGCUGAGAAAACCUUUUUCUACCUAGGCUUUCAGGGCGUGAGCCCACAAUGGCACCACAUGGGUAUUUGUCUCCCUCCUGUGGUUUAUUCUAUGAGAUUAGAUACAAUCCUGCUCCACCUGUUUGCUAAAGCCAUUAGAGCUUCCAACAAAGUGGAAGAAACAUCUUCAGUGGGUGUCCUGUGUGACUAUCCUAUAUGCAAACUUUGUCAGCAACCUCAGUGCUGAGUGACAACCCAGUUUGUCAUUAAUAGUGAAAACCAUUAUGGGAGUCAAGCAGGCUCCGCACAGCACAGAGUUAUUUUCAGCUGGGACUGGCCUCUGUUUACAUCUUUUCCAGCUGUAACAAGGAGGGGGCUCCUGAAGCCAACACAUUCAGAGGAAGGCAGUAGAAACCACUGUGUGGAUCAGCCUUUUUCAUCUCGCAACUACCACCUCGGUCAGCAGCAUUUUUCCCCCACUGAGCACACACAUGGAUGUACCGCAGGCUGCAGCAGCCAGGAAUGGCACAUUACCAAGGCUGUCAUGAGAGCCAGGUUGGAUUUUGGAAUGUGGGCAGAAACCUGCAUGGAGGUAAAGGGGCACAUGCCCGAAAGAAGAGCAUUGAGCUCACCAGGGGAGCUCGUGCCUGGUGCUUGGGCUGGAUGCAGAGCCAGGCAUGGGGAUGAGACCCUUCUGGAUGGGCUUACUGGCACAUCCCUGAAGAGACAGCAGGCAUGUGUGGGAGCUGGACUAUGACUGAGAUGGUGGCUGAUGACCUGCUGUUAGAUUUCUUUAAGAAGCUAAGUUCAGCAACCCUUCUGAUGUGGCAGACUUUUAGCACAGGAAAUUUAAAAAUAUUUUUUGAUUGGAAAACAAAAAUAAUGUAAUAAAAAUAAUAUUUUAAAACUUUUUUUGUUUUCUCUGCCUUCUCUUAUGUUUCUGCUCCUUGUUUACAACUUGGAAGAAAAGGAACCAGAUUCUUUCACCCUGUGAAAGGUUUAACACAGGUUAAAGCAGCAGCUUAGGAUUUUUCUUCAGUAAUAACCAGAAAACAAAGCUAAAUCCUUUUACAA